UUCCUCUCCCCUGCUUACUUUUAGGUUUGAAUUAUGCUCAAAAGAGUGUGUGGUAGGUGCUGUGCUGCAGGUCUGAUUAGGAGAAUUUAUAUGGGUUGUUAUAUGUUUUUCAAAAAGUAAUGUAUUUGAAGGGCAAUAGAUCUUUAUGCUGUUAGUUAUAGGCUAAAAUUACAUCCUAAGGUAGUUGAUUAGAAUUAAUAUUGUAUAAUUCCAAAUUACAUCCUAAAAUGCAAACUAGUUGUCUCAAGUUUGGAUUUGUAAUUGAAUUUCAUAAAAUUUAUGAAACUCAUUUGUACCAAAAUCUUAUAUGUACAUAGAAAAAAUAACAUGUAAACUGAAG
rnacentral:misc_RNA from 1 species